GGGUGGUCUGAAUGCAGUGGUGUUUACAACUAAUUAAUCAUAACCAGUUACAGAUUUCUUUGCUCCUUCUCCAUUCCCACUACUUCACUUGACUAGCCUUAA
ensembl:misc_RNA Y_RNA Y RNA